AGAAAAAAUAAAAAUCAUUAAAAGAAGUGUCUGUUUCCUAUUGCCCUCUGACACUCCUAUAUACAAGCAGAACAGUUCUUCAAAACCAAAUGUUCUGGGAGCUCAUCUACCUGGUGCAGGACCCCUGCAUUAGAUAGAUUGAUAUGGAGCUUGGACAUCUUGCUUCUUGAGGAGAACUUCUGCAUUUUUCAUUACCUUCUCUUUUGGUGGUCCUCUACUGGGUAUUCAGGUCCUGACCAUACUGUGUCAAGGACUGUGAUUUGUUGCUAUACUACAUCUCUACCCCUCCAAACUGUCUUGUUGUGGUUCCUUGGUUUCUUCUAGUCUUAAGGUCAUUCUCACUGAAAGUUGCUCUGUGAAAGUUGUAAUUUUGCUGUGCCUGUGGAAGGAGAUGGGUGCAGGGUUUUCCUAAUCCACCAUCUUGGCCACUCACGUGAAAAAUUUCAGGUUUUAGUGUGCUAUUUUAACAAUAUAGACUUUUGAGUCAGGCUACUGAGUUUCAGAUGAGGAAUUCACUCUAUGUGACUGUGUGCAACUGGCACUUGCUUUCUUAUUUCCUCAGUUUUGUCUCCUGUAAAAUUAGGAUAAUAAUACUUAUCUGAUGGGCUUGUGUGUAGAUUAAAUGAAAUAAUUCAUGUAAGGUUAAUAUUUGGCACAUUAAGAAAGAAUUGUGUUAGAGAAUACAAAGAAAAUGAAAAAGUAUUUUCUACUUGGGGCAGAAGAAAGAAUAGGAUGAUACGUUUCUACAUACAUAUAAAAUAAAAUAAAUUGGGACAAAAAGUUUUGAGGAAAAAUCUCAUAGACUUGCAAAAUAAAAAUAGAAAGAAAACCUAGAAAAGCAGGCAGAGAGAUUGCUCACAUGCCUGAGCCUCUCUUUUCUCUGUCCUUCUUUCUUUUAGAGAAAUUUAAUUGCCCAUUGCUAAUGGAGUCAAAUAAGUAGGUGACAGAUUUGCAGCUAUUUGUCUUUUUCAAAAAUUUGUUUAAAAUUUAAAACUUUUUUACAUCGCCUUUCCUAAAUAAAAAUUAAAAUGUUAUUAUUAGAAAAAUUUAAUACUCAAACUUUAAUCUUCACUUUGAGAGGUUUCUUAUGGUUGCUAUGAUAGUUUAAUGAUAUAAAUGUAUGGAAGCAUGAAAGGUAUUUAAAGUAUAAAAUACUUCAUCAUCAUUUUGAAUAUGAAGAAAUGAUAUAAAGAAAUGCAGGUAGUCCACAGCAUGAAGGCAAAUCUCCUUGUACAGAUAUGAAGAUUAAUUUGUUGAAAGAAGGGUCAAUAGUAACAAAUGAUGAGCCAAAGGAAGGUAAUUUUUAUAAAUUUGUAGCAAAUGGGAAAGAUUCCUUACUGGUAUAGUGUUCAGUGAUACUCUUUUCCCCUGGUCAGAGAAUCAGAUAGAGUUUAUACUUGAUUUCCGUUUUCCUCUAUUUGCUUUUUUUAUUUGUACUGAAAACCUUCAUUCUUUCAAGUAGCUGGCUUCCAGACUGACCUACUCCACAUGCAGCCUUCACCUCCCUCUUGGGUCUGCAGGAAAUCUUUAGGCCUGUUAGGACACAGCAGACUCCUUAUAAUUCGUUUGGCUGCUGGUGCUUCCACCACCUGCCAAUUAGUCUAUGGGCUGCUCUUUCUCUGCAGCCCUUGGAACCACAUUCCUCUUCUAGGGACAUCUCAGAACCAUGUGACUGAAAAACCAGUGAUGCUGAUGCCCUGUGUUUGCUAUCAACCUGGAUCUCAAAUAUCCUUGGGAGAAUCCACAUUUAGAAAAUUAUUUUCAGAUGAAGAAAAAUAAGAUGUAAAUGUUUUUCACUUUGAAGAAAGAACCAGUUUUAUGUUGAGAGUUAUAAGGGGAGAUUAUAAAGGAUUUGUUUUAAAGAAAAAUAUGUUUCUAGGAGUUCUAAAUGCUGCAAUAGCACUGUGAUUUUCUUUUCUUUCUAACUUAAUGAAACUGCUCUGCAUUAUCCUUCUUGUUUUAAUACCAAAAACUUAAAUGCAAUGCUUUAGGAUUUUAAUUUCAUUGGUUUAGCUCAAGAUAUAAAUGGCAAAUGGCACCAUAUUUCUAACAUUGCCAUAAUGAAAUGAGCAGGAUUGAACAGUUGGAGCAGACAUGGGAGAUAUUCAGGGAUUUGGGGCCUGGAGGCAGAACUUUAAAGAGCUGCUGGAGUUCUGAACGUGCUCAAAAUGCCUUAAGUCACUUUAUAAAGCAAGCCUGUCUCAGCUGGCUUAUGUCUAGGAAGAUUUUCUUGAGAGCUACUCUGCAGCAGAACAUGGAUCUCCCCUCAAACAAAUCCUACCUGGAAGACAAUCUCCCAAUUAACCAGCCUGCCCAUCUUGGAACAUUCAUCUUAUAUUGGGCAGAACCACAGCCAACACUAUUGUGGUAUGUGCAAGCCAAUUUUAUGUAAAGACAUUUAUUAAACACUCAGGUAUUCAGAUAGGUUGAUAUCUCAAAAAAAAAAAAAAAGGUUAACUCUCAACAUGCGCCCAGCUUUAAUGAGAAUUGAUCUCAUUUCCUCUUGUUAACUAAUGCGCCCCUGCCAAGGCCCUAAACCUCAAUAGGGACCAGAACAAAAACUCAGGCUGGCAGAUGCUGAACAGGAUGUCUUCCUGAUUCACCUAGUCAGAGAGUACAGAGAACCCCUGGAAACAAUCCUCAAACUUGAGCAGCCUGAGUGGUGCCAUUUGGGGUCAUUCUGCCUUUGUCAACCCCUUCUGUCAUUAGCCACCUCUCCUACUGUGUAAAGAAAACCAUCGUUAAUAUGUCUACAAAUAACGAAUGCUGGAUAGGGUGUGCAGUAAAGGGAACACUCCUACACUGUUGGUGGGAAUAUAAAUUGGUACAACCACUUUGGAAAACAGUAUGGAGGUAGCUCAGAAAACUAAAUAUAGAACUACCACAUGAUCCAGCAAUCCCACUCCUGGACAAAACUCCAAUUCAAAAAGAUACAUGCACCUGUACGUUCAUAGCAGCACUAUUCACAAUAGCUAAGACAUGGAAACAACCUAAAUAUCCAGAUGACUACAGAUGACUGGAUUAGGAAGAUAUGGUACAUAUACACAAUGGAAUACUACUCAAGCAUAAAAAAGAAUUAAAUAAUGCCACUGUCAGCAACAUGGAUGCAACUAGAGAUUCUCAUACUAAGUGAAAGAAAUCAGAAAGAGAAAGACAAAUACCAUAGGAUAUUACUUGUAUGUGGAAUCUAAAAUAUAGCCCAAAUGAACCUAUCUGCAGAACAGAAACAGGCUCAUAGACAUGGGAAGCAGACUUGUGGUUGCCAAGGGGGAUUACAGUAGUGGGAUGGCCUGGGAGUUUGGGGUUAGUAGGUGCAAAUUAUUACACUUAGAAUGGAUAAACAAUGUGGUCCUGCUAUAUAGCACAGGGAACUAUAUCCAGUCCUUGUCAUAGAACAUGAUGGAAGAUAAUAUGAGAAAAAGAAUGUGUGUGUUUGUGUGUGUGUAUAUAUAUAUAUAUACAUAUAUAUAUAUGACUGGGUCACCUUGCUGUACAGCAAAAAUUGACAGAACGUUGUAAAUGAACUAUACUUUAAUAAUAAUAAUAAUAAAAAGACAAGAAAGGCAUAGUUAGCUUGAAUGUAAUAAUAAUCCCCUACCCUCAAGAGUAAAAUCCUCCCAGAGCGACAGACAAACAUACAGUUCAAAAUACUGGUGCUGUCUGGUCAGAGUAGAAUGACAGGGACCAUUCAAAAUACAUGAAAUAAAAUACAUGAAAUAACAGUUUUCAGGCAGUGAGGGGAAGUGAUCUCUGAGAGGUGGGAAAUGGACAAAAUUAGCCCUCUACUUUGUCAGCUUAUCGUCUAAAAGUGUUUCUAGGCUACGCUGCAAGGAGGGGUAACUGAGUCAGGCUCCCUGAGUCGAGGAGAUAGAGUUUAGCAUCUAGGGAGACCAAGGCAGCUGGAGUCAUAAGUAGAGAACCAGAGAGGUGACUAGCACAGAGAAAAACCUGGGGUAUAAAGAAGGUCUCCCUUAAGUAUUUAGCACAUAUAUGAGGAAAGGAAAGAGAAAUUUCUUUCCCAUGAGGAGGUUUGGUAAAGAAUAGUUAAGAGAAUUAGAGGGAAUAGCAACUUGUUCUCAUGCAGGACUGGCAACAAUGUUCCCACCAACCCAACUGGAAAAACUCAAUUCAUGGGGCCUUGGGAAAAGUACUCAGGAAGAACUUGUCUCAGUACAGAGGAAUAAUUAGCCUAGACUAGGCAGACUUAGGUCCAGGCCUAUCUAAUAAAUCAUGAAAGUAAGUUACUUGGAAUGUUUUUCUCCUUUUGGGUCUUAACUGCGUAGUAGAACAAAACUCAAGGCAAACAAUAUGAAUUGUCCCUCACUCAGCAAGGUGACAUUCAUAAGGUCUGGCAUUCAAUCAAGAGUACCAGGUAUGCAAAGAGACAAGAAAACACCCAUCGGCAGAGACUAACUGGUCAAAGGAAAGUAAUCCAGAACUAACCCUGAAGUUAGAAUUGGCAAGGGAGGAUAUUAAAACACUUAUUAUCUAUCAAAAGCUUGAACAGAAUGUUGCUAGAAACUCUUCAUCCUAGCUAAAACUGGAAGCAGUCCAGAUGUCCAUUAACAGGAAUAUGGAUAAACAGACUACUUAGCAAUAAAAAAGAAUUAUUCUCUAAGAGAUACAACAGCACUAAUGAAUCUCAAGAACAUUUUGCUGUGUGGAAAAAGCCAAGCAUAAAAAAGUACACACCAUAUGAUGAUUCCACUUAUUUGAAAGACCUAAAUAGGUAAAAUUAAUGAUGACAGAAGUCAGAUCAGUGGUUACUGCUGAGAUGGGGGAUCAACUGAGGAAGAAGACAAAGACUUUUUCAAUGUUCUCUACAUUGAUAGUGGUGUGAAUUAUAAGAGUGUAAACAUUGGAAAAAUGAAUCAAACUGCACAAGCUCUGCAUUUCAUGCAAUAAAAUUUUUCAUUAAAAAUUUAAUAAUCCAAUAGAAAAGGAGGCACUUUGUUUUUAAAAGCAAAUCGAAUGGCCAAUGAUCAACAUAUGAAAAUAGGCUUAGUGACAAGGGGAUUCAGGAAAAAAUAAGGACCAUAGCAAGAUACCAUUCUGUGCUUAUCAAACUGAUGCUUUUCAAAUAUUUGACAAUAUUCAAUAGCAUUUGUUCACAUCUCUGCUGAUGCCAAAUGUGUUGGUAUGGCCACUAUGGGAAAUAUUUGGACUUACCUAGUAAUGUUGAAGAAACCCACUCCCCAUGCUCAUAGGAAGAUUUCUGAAAAACGUCUUGAGCUUCAGAGACUUGCAAAUUGUUUCUGUUUUUGUGAUACAACCCCCCC
rnacentral:lncRNA from 1 species